GCCAAUUGACGCUCCUCUUGGUGGAAUGUAUUAGAAAAAGGGGGAAACGGAGACCAGAAGAAACCUAACCCCAAAGAAACCAAAAUCUUUCUCUCUGUUCUUCUUCUUCUUCUUCUUCCUGCCCAAGCAAACUUCCGUCCCGAACCCUAACCCUAACGCUACUCUUUUUUUUUUUUCUUUUCUCUGUGUUCUGGAUUUCAAUCGGAUUGAAUCGGCGUUUGCUCCGGGGACGAAGGCGAUUUUAGGAAUUAGAAUCUGCGACCGACAAGCGGGAGACGAUGUCUGCUGUGGUGUGCGGAACCAAGAGAUCCUUCUUUGAAGAACUCCCGCCUUCGCCUCCCAUAGCAAAGCGGCUCCGCUGCUCCACUUCUACUUCGCCGAUUAGGUUCGCUGCGCCGUCUCUUAUUGAUCAGCUUCACGAUUUGUUUCCGCACAUGGAUCAUCAGCUUCUUGCGAGAGCCCUUGAAGAAUGUGGCAACGACUUGGAUGCUGCCAUCAAAUGCUUGAGUGACCUCUGUUUGGGAUCUGCUGCUGAGAAUCCGGGUGCUACUGCUGAACCAGAGACAAAUUUGGAUCAAGGUUCAUUUGUCAACGAUGGGGAGGCUGCUGCUUCUGAGAAUUUGUCAGCACCAAGCAGUGUUUCUCUUGAUGGUAGAGAAUGGGUUGACUUGUUUGUAAGGGAAAUGAUGAGCGCUACCAGUGUAGAUGAUGCUAGGACCCGUGCAGCAAGAGCUUUAGAAGCUUUAGAAAACUCAAUUAGUGCACGUGCUGGUGCUGAUGCGGUACAAAAUUUCCACAAGGAAAAUAUACAACUGAAGGAACAAAUUGAAGUACUGAUACGAGAAAAUACUAUUCUUAAGCGAGCAGUUUCCAUACAACAUGAACGUCAGAAGGAGUUCGACGACAAGAACCUAGAGUUGCAGCACCUUAAACAGUUGGUAUCUCAAUAUCAGGAGCAGCUGAGAACGCUAGAGAUAAACAACUAUGCAUUGACAAUGCAUUUGAAGCAGGCUCAGCAAAGCAGCUCGAUUCCAGGGCGCUUCCAUCCCGAUGUGUUCUAACGACGAGGAAUUUAAAGAUCUAAAUUAUUGGUUGCAGGAAGAUACUAGGAGAGCGUGAGUGAGAGGAGGAAAGGGAGAGCCAGGGUCUCAGUUUCGUAUGAAUACAGACCUUUUUGCGGAUCAAUUUCUGUCUGAAGUGGGACGACGGCCAUGGUCUUUUGUCCUAGUUUUCUUCUGGCCAUUGAUUUUUGCGCUGCAUAUUGCACAGCUCGAGGCCUAUCGCGCGGCCUUGUGCCAUUUUUUAAUUAGUUUUUGAUAUCUGUAAUUUAGUUCAUCUUCAUUACUUUAAAUGGUUUCUGGUCUGAUGAAAAGACAAAAUUAUUAGUAUUC